GGGAGGCGGGCAGGGGCUGGCAGGUCCCGCAGUGCCCAGGCUGCUGCAGGGCUGCUGGGGGCAGGAGGGGCUGUGAUCCCAGCGCCACGGAGGGGGGGGGACCCCAAAUCCACCCCUCACCCCCCCGGCCCCCCCCGGGGCUGGGUGCGGUGGGACGGGGAUGAGCCGCCUUCCCCCGGCCCCCCCGCACCCUGCUGCCGCCUCGGCGGGGUGCUCAGCACCCUGGGCGCGGUGCUCAGCACCCAGCCGGCUCAGCUCCCUUUGAAGCCGAUCGGCAGGAAAAAAAAAAAAAAAAAGGGGGGAGGGGGUGUGGGGGGGUGGGAACAUCUUCCUCUCCCCCCACCCGCUGAGAAACAGCUCCCUGAGGCUGGAGAUGGGAUCUGCGCAGGAUCGGGCCCCCCGCGCCUCACGUGGCCUGGAGCACCCUCAGGAGAUCCUGGGUGGCCCAGAGCAGGGAGAAGGUGACACCCAAGGGGACAGGGGACGACACCUUGAGGUGUCCCCCCCCCUCACACACCCCCACCCCCCCCCCAGGCUUGUCACCGCUCAAAGUGGCGGAAGGUGGAGAUCCCCCGCCGUGGGGUGGAGAUCCCCCGCCGUGGGGUGGAGAUCCGGGCACCACCCUUGAGUUUCGAGGGGUGAAGGACCCGUGUCCUGCUGCUCCCCCGUGGAGCCAACGUCUCCUCCGGGUUUGGGUGGGUGACUUGGCCAACCCGGCGAGACGCUCUGCAGCCCAAGGAGGUUUUUUUCACUCUCGAGGGAUCGGAGAGCUGAGGACGCUUUGGUGACCUCCCAGAGCUUCUCCUGGAGCUGGCGGAGGGAGGCGGCGGCUCCCAAGGGGUGUCUUCUCCUCCAGGGAGGGAGGAGGAAAGUAGGUCGGGUUUGGAGCUGUUGGUCCCCAGCAGCUCACAGCUCCAGGCGAGCGUCUUUUGGGUCUCCAUCCUUGCCCUGUGCUCCUUCUCCAGCCCAAGGUGGGACAAGGCCAUGGGGACGCCUUGGCUGGAGGACCCUGGAGAUGCUGCUGCCCCUCCUUGCCGGUCCUCUGCUGGCCCCAGGGGUGUCCUCCUGGUCUUCACCACCCUCCUCGGGGCUGGUAGCUGGAAGGACUGGAGAGGAGGAGGAUUCCCCGAGCCUGGAGCUGGGUGAGAAGCAGCUGGGGAAUCGCCAUGAGAUGGUGCAGACCAGGUUCUCCCAUGGUCAGAGCGUCUUUGAGGACCUCAGUGCCGACGUUCCCCAAGGGAAGGCGUGGUCAGCGCUGAAAAUAUCCAAGUGCACCUCCAGCUGGAGGUACAGCCUGAUCCAUCACCACACCGGGGACCCAUCACGGUGAGGGACCCUGUAGAAGUCCCAACCGUGGGAAGGGCUUCACCAUGACCUCAAAGCUCAUCCGACCCACACGGAGGAGGCUCCUUACAAGUUCUCCAUGUGCGGGAAGAACUACGACGAGCUGGGGUCCCACCAGAACCACCACGUGGAGCAACAGGUGGCGACAGCUCUCCUGAUUUAGGUGGACACCCAUGGGGGGCUGCGACUUUUGGGGUCUCCAGCCCCAUACCACAUGUUUGGGUUGCAAAGGGAAAUCAAGUUCUGCCCUCGUCUUCCUCUCUUUCACCCCCUGGGAUCCUCCACCAAUAAAAUCAACCUUGGAUUAUCCAAAGA